rnacentral:rRNA from 1 species
AACGCGAAGAACCUUACCUGGCCUUGACAUGCACUGGACCGGCGCUGAAAGGCGCUUUUCCCGCAAGGGACCGGUGCACAGGUGCUGCAUGGCUGUCGUCAGCUCGUGUCGUGAGAUGUUGCGUUAAGUCGCGCAACGAGCGCAACCCCUGUCCUUAGUUGCCACCAUUUAGUUGGGCACUCUAGGGAGACAAACCCUCUUUGAGGGUGGGAAGGUGGGGAUGACGUCAAGUCAGGAUGGCCCUUACGGCCAGGGCUGCACACGUGCUACAAUGCCCGGUACAGAGGGAAGCAAGACCGCGAGGUGGAGCAAAUCCUCAAAACCGGGCCCAGUUCAGAUUGUAGUCUGCAACUCGACUACAUGAAGUUGGAAUCGCUAGUAAUGGCGUAUCAGCUACGACGCCGUGAAUACGUUCCCGGGCCUUGUA